rnacentral:sRNA from 1 species
CUCUGUAACAACUUACGGCCGCCUGCGUCGUGGAUUCAAGGCCUGGAGUCUCCAGCCAUUGAUCGAGCAGGCGAGUUUGCGCAACCGACGAGUCCCAACAAUGAUAUGCUGCCAGGCUAGCACCGCAGCCAAUGAGAAACAGUCGGAGAACCUGUUGCCUGCCGCUGCAAAUUAAAAUAAGACAAAUUCUUAGCUUCGCCGGAGCUGACCAUCAGAGAUGUUUCGUCGGGGCACAUGGUGAGGAUCCAUUAAGCACGAUCAAGAGUUCGAUGGAUGUAACUAAAUAUUCGGAUGAAGAUCGAAAGAGAAUUGCCUUCAUUCAAGAC